ensembl:processed_transcript
AAAAGCCAGGAAGUAACGUUACAGUAAGCCAAUCAUUUGAGGGAAGCAUCUCGUGUUUAAAAUGCCUGUGAUAUCCAAGAGAAGGUAAACAAAAAAGCUCGAUGUUUAGAAUGCAUCAACAGAGAGCUGUGUAAGAAGGCAAAUGUGAAUGUGCAAGCAGACAGUGGCACACGGGACACAGAGCAAGACUGGAGCGCUCAAUAUUCUUUGAAGGUCAGUGUCACAAUGUACCGUAAUACAUCUGCAGUUUUAAUGAGUAUUUUAGCAGCCAGAUACCAAAUAAACAGUCAUAUCAGUCAGCAUAAAGCUUGUUUUCUGUUCCCCUUUCUGUCACAUUUUCAAGUGUACUCUUAAGGAUUUUUGUAAAGUUACAAAAGUUGUAAAAUACAGUUUUCAGACCCCCUAGUUUUU